rnacentral:rRNA from 1 species
UACGAAGGGGGCUAGCGUUGUUCGGAAUCACUGGGCGUAAAGCGCACGUAGGCGGAUCUUUAAGUCAGGGGUGAAAUCCUGGAGCUCAACUCCAGAACUGCCUUUGAUACUGAAGAUCUUGAGUUCGGGAGAGGUGAGUGGAACUGCGAGUGUAGAGGUGAAAUUCGUAGAUAUUCGCAAGAACACCAGUGGCGAAGGCGGCUCACUGGCCCGAUACUGACGCUGAGGCACGAAAGCGUGGGGAGCAAACAGGG